rnacentral:rRNA from 1 species
CCUACGGGGGGCAGCAGUGAGGAAUAUUGGUCAAUGGCCGGAAGGCUGAACCAGCCAAGCCGCGUGAAGGACGAAGGUGCCAAGCAUUGUAAACUUCUUUUGUCAAGGGACAAAAUCAGGCUCGAGAGCCUGACCGAGGGUACUUGAAGAAAAAGCAUCGGCUAACUCCGUGCCAGCAGCCGCGGUAAUACGGAGGAUGCGAGGGUUAUCGGGAUUUAUGGGGUUAAAAGGGUGCGUAGGCGGACUGUUAAGUCAGCGGGAAAAGCCCGGGGCCCAACCCCGGAGAGCAGUUGAAACUGGGUGUCUUGAGAAGACGAGGGGUAUGCGGAAUGCGCAGUGUAGCGGUGAAAUGCUUAGAUAUUAGGAGGAACACCAGUGGCGAAGGCGGCUUGCUGGACUGUAACUGACGUUGAGGCUCGAAGGCGUGGGGAGCAAACAGGAUUAGAUACCCUGGUAGUC